CUGCGCUUGGGCUUGAGCAGGGUCUGGCCAGCAGCGGUCUGUCACCUUGCUGGCCUCCAUGUACAGUGGCAAUUUACUGAGCCCUCCACCGUUGCUCGCUCACCCAGGAAGUUUUAGCCCAGCCCCCUGCCCCGUGCCGGUGACCAACUAGGGCAUUGCCUGCAGGAUCAGUCCCGCUUUCUCCUGCUGGAAGGUGAUAAAGUGCCUGGGAGCUGCUGAAAACCAUUCACCAAUAAAUUCAAAGGGAAAGGCCAUUUCUCAUGCCUUGGAAACUUGCAAGAGCUGAGGGAUGCUGGAAGGCAGAGAAGACCGAAAGAGCACAUUGCAUGGCAGCAUGGCAGGAGGCACCGGCACAAUUUUUCUGGUUCGUUUCGUUGCUUGUUUUUUUUUUCCCUUAAUGAUUUUUACUCUGCCUGUGGCUAGGCAAUCAAUAUCUCUUUGCCACCAAUAAAUAUUCUGGGCUUUUAAAUGA